rnacentral:rRNA from 1 species
AGAGUUUGAUCCUGGCUCAGGAUGAACGCUGGCGGCGUGCCUAACACAUGCAAGUCGAGCGGUCCAGCACCUAAAAUUCAUUUUAGGUGCUGGAUAGCGGCGGACGGGUGAGUAACGCGUGGGCAACCAACCUUGAUCAGGGGGACAACAUUGGGAAACCAGUGCUAAUACCGCAUAGCUCUAUUUUAUGGCAUCAUGAGAUAGAGAAAGAUUUAUCGGAUCAAGACGGGCCCGCGUCUGAUUAGCUAGUUGGUAAGGUAAUGGCUUACCAAGGCUGUGAUCAGUAGCCGACCUGAGAGGGUGACCGGCCACACUGGAACUGAGACACGGUCCAGACUCCUACGGGAGGCAGCAGUGGGGAAUAUUGCACAAUGGGGGAAACCCUGAUGCAGCAACGCCGCGUGAGCGAAGAAGGCCUUCGGGUCGUAAAGCUCUGUCCUAUGGGAAGAAGGAGUGACGGUACCAUAGGAGGAAGCCCCGGCUAACUACGUGCCAGCAGCCGCGGUAAUACGUAGGGGGCAAGCGUUAUCCGGAAUCACUGGGCGUAAAGGGUGCGUAGGCGGCUAAGUAAGUCAGGGGUGAAAGGCUACGGCUCAACCGUAGUAAGCCUUUGAAACUGCUUAGCUUGAGUGCAGGAGAGGUAAGUGGAAUUCCUAGUGUAGCGGUGA